rnacentral:tRNA from 10 species
GCUUCGAUAGCUCAGUUGGUAGAGCAAACGACCGAUAAUCGUUAGGUCACUGGUUCGAGUCCAGUUCGGAGUACCA